GAUGAACGCUGGCGGCGUGCUUAACACAUGCAAGUCGAACGAGAAAUGUAGACGGACACCUUCGGGCGGAAGCCUUCAUUUCGAGUGGCGGACGGGUGAGUAACGCGUGGGUAACCUGCCUCAUACAGGGGGAUAACAGUUGGAAACGACUGUUAAUACCGCAUAAGACCACAGCAUCGCAUGAUGCGGGGGUAAAAACUCCGGUGGUAUGAGAUGGACCCGCGUUCGAUUAGCCAGUUGGCGGGGUACGGCCCACCAAAGCGACGAUCGAUAGCCGAUCUGAGAGGAUGACCGGCCACAUUGGGACUGAGACACGGCCCAAACUCCUACGGGAGGCAGCAGUGGGGAAUAUUGCACAAUGGGGGAAACCCUGAUGCAGCGACGCCGCGUGAGUGAAGAAGUACUUCGGUAUGUAAAGCUCUAUCAGCAGGGAAGAAAAUGACGGUACCUGAGUAAGAAGCCCCGGCUAACUACGU
rnacentral:rRNA from 1 species